CGCAGAGCGACAAACUUCAGGUGUGAAGUCUGAGCGCGAGGUGACGGAGCCUCCUCACUUCAGAGGACAUCAAAGACUCUUCACGCGUACUCUUCUCCUCAGUUCCGGGGAGAAGCUGCAUGGAGCGCGCGCGCCUGUGUGUUUGUAACCUAGGUGUGAAGUGGUCGCGUGCUGCCGGAGCUGCAGCGCGUGUCUGUGUGUUGGCGGCUGGAUCAUCAAAGAGUUUGAAUUUGAAUAGAAGCGUCAGCUCCUUCACUCUAAUGAGUGAAAAGAUCCACAGAGCAAGAGGAGAGCCAGUCCAAGACCUGAUGACCUUCUGACCCAGGACCUUCUGUCAUAGAUCGUUGUAAGUAUAAGGGCUGCUCUACAACGAUUUAUUUUACAGUUUUGGACCAAAAGGUUUUACUUUGAUAGCCAUGAAAAGUGUCUCAGUGAGAGAUCUGCAAAAAUAAAACCCAUCAAAGCCAUUUUAACAUUAAAAGAAUGCAAAUAAUGUCAGAGAAAAAUCUCAUGUUUAUUCAGUUAGGUUUAACAUGUGUGAGACAAUUUGCAACAAUGCCUUCAGGCAAACGUGUGGGCGUGACUCAUCCAGCUCCCCCUGUCUGUGUGUGUGUGUGUGUGUCAUGGGGAAGUGGAGCAGUGAGUUCUC